UUUCGUGGCCACUACAGGGAGCGACCGCCGCGCCGCCAUCCGAUAGCGCCUGAAACGCGCUUCUGGGCACUUUUUCUCCCUGAAGACGGCCGCUGGCCUAGGUACUGAGGAGGAGAACGCCCCUAGCUCCACUUGUCCCUAAACGCGCUUCGCCGCCGGUGUCAACUCACGUCAAGGUGCCCAUGUUGCGAGUGCAGUCGUAACGCUUUGUCGUUGGAUCCGAGCCCAUGGAGAAAGUUGGAGCUGUAGAGCUGUAUGUUUUUGGACAAAGUCAUCAAUUCCAUUGCUCUUCCUAUGCCAAGUGGCCAGGAUAAUGGUUGAAAUUGCUACAAUAAAGGUUAUGAUCAACAACAUUUGUUGAAAUUUUGCAUU